AGAUUCCGUCUUUCGGGGGAUCCAUAACUUCAUGCGUUGACGACCGAGGGAAGCCGGUGCGAAUCCGGCACUGACCUGCAACCGUGUGCGACGUUCCGCGUCGCGAGUCGGAUCACUCGGCUCGCCGGCGUGAACACC
rfam:Streptomyces xiamenensis strain 318, complete genome.